AUUGAACGCUGGCGGCAGGCCUAACACAUGCAAGUCGAGCGGAUGCGAGGAGCUUGCUCUUUGAUUCAGGGGCGGACGGGAGAGAAAUGCCUAGGAAUAUGUCUGGUAGUGGGGGACAACGUUUCGAAAGGAACGCUAAUACCGCAUACGUCCUACGGGAGAACGGGGGGGAGCUUCGGACCGCACGCUAUCAGCGGAGGCUAGUUCGGAUGAGCGAGUGGGUGAGGUAAUGGCUCACAAAGGCGACGUGCCGUAACUGGUCUGAGAGGAUGAUCAGUCACACUGGAACUGAGACACGGUCCAGACUCCUACGGGAGGCAGCAGUGGGGAAUAUUGGACAAUGGGCGCAGCCUGAUCCAGCCAUGCCGCGUGUGUGAAGAAGGUCUUCGGAUUGUAAAGCACUUUAAGUUGGGAGGAAGGUCAGUAGCUUAAUACGUUGCUGAUUUGACGUUACCGACAGAAUAAGCACCGGCUAACUCUGUGCCAGCAGCCGCAGUAACAC
rnacentral:rRNA from 1 species